GAUGAAGAACGCAGCGAAAUGCGAUACGUAAUGUGAAUUGCAGAAUUCAGUGAAUCAUCGAGUCUUUGAACGCACAUUGCGCCCCUUGGUAUUCCAUGGGGCAUGCCUGUUCGAGCGUCAUUUGUACCUUCAAGCUCUGCUUGGUGUUGGGUGUUUGUCUCGCCUCUGCGCGUAGACUCGCCUCAAAACAAUUGGCAGCCGGCGUAUUGAUUUCGGAGCGCAGUACAUCUCGCGCCUUGCACUCAUAACGACGACGUCCAAAAGUACAUUUUUACACUCUUGACCUCGGAUCAGGUAGGGAUACCCGCUGAACUUAAGCAUAUAAUAAGCGGAGGA
rnacentral:misc_RNA from 1 species